rnacentral:rRNA from 1 species
GUCUCAGGCCGUAUCAGCCUGAAGGCGCCCGAUCUCGUCUGAUCUCGGAAGCUAAGCAGUGUCGGGCCUGGUUAGGAUCUUGGAUGGGAGACCACCUGGGAAUCCCGGGUGCUCGAGGCU